CCUUAUCAAGAGCGGCGGAGGGACUAGGCCCUGCGAUGCCCGGCAACCUGUUUCGCGCCUCGUGCGCGGCGUAAGGUGCUACAUCCUACAGAGAGUGAUCGCUUUCUGAAAGAUGAGG
rnacentral:ncRNA from 1 species